CAAUACACAUAGAGACUUGGAACAUGCAUCCCACAGAGGAGUCCCAAGAGUGCAGAUUUAUCCAUGGAAUUAUGCCAAGAAUAAAUUAGACUAUGGACCUCAGAGGCAUCACUCACAAGGAGGAAAGAAGAAGACAGCAGUUGUGGAAUGAAAUGGGACCAAAAUGGUUUUGAAGCAAGGAAUGGCUCCUGCCACCAUUUACUGAAGAAUGAAGAGUUCAGUUUUUAAAACUGGAAAUAAAUGUAUGUUUCACACAGACUGGAAUUUUCAAUAUGUCUGAGCUGUCUCAGAAAACAAUUAAUAAACAGAAGUGAUGUA